UGAUGACCUCGUCCAGGCUGAAGGCCUU
rnacentral:sRNA from 1 species